GCCAGCAGUCAUAUCACCUGCAACUCACAACUGGCAACCCACUGAAGCCAAGCAGGUGUGAGCCUCCUCAGUACCUGGAUGGGAGACCUCCUGGGAAACACUAAGGUCGCUGCUGGAA
rnacentral:rRNA from 1 species